rnacentral:misc_RNA from 1 species
UCUCUGAAAUUGAUAAUCAUUCCCUACAAUAAGAUGGCAAGUUAGAUUGCUUUGCUCUCUAAGGAAAGGCAGAACUUAACACUUCAUCUGAAUACCCUAAGUGAGUGAUUUGCAACAGUGAAACCGCCAUCGACCAUUAUGUUAGCCCCACUAAUGUACCUUGCUUCUUCACUUGCCAAGAAGAGCACGGCAUUAGCUACAUCAUCAGCUGUCAAUUCCAUUCC